GUGCAGCAGUCGAGAAUCGUGCCCAAUGCGCGAAAGCGUGAGGCCGCGAACCCAAGUGCUAGGGUUACCCCCUAGUUGUGAUGGAGUGUAUAAAGCUCUAACAGCAAGCAGAGGGCAAGGCUGGUGCCAGCCGCCGCGGUAAAACCAGCUCUGCGAGUGCUCAGGACGAUUAUUGGGCUUAAAGCAUCCGUAGCCGGGUAAGCAGGUCCCUGAUCAAAUCUGCAAGCUUAACUUGUAGGCUGUCAAGGAUACCACUAACCUAGGAAAUAGGAGAGGUGAACGGUACUGCGAGAGAAGCGGUGAAAUGCGUUGAUUCUCGCAGGACCCACAGUGGCGAAGGCGGUUCACUGGAAUAUCUUCGACGGUGAUGGAUGAAAGCUAGGGGAGCGAAAGGGAUUAGAUACCCCCGUAGUCC
rnacentral:rRNA from 1 species